AACGAACGCUGGCGGCAGGCCUAACACAUGCAAGUCGAGCGGACCCUUCGGGGUUAUCGGCGGACGGGUGAGUAACGCGUGGGAAUAUUCCCUUCUCUACGGAAUAGUCCUGGGAAACUGGGGGUAAUACCGUAUACGCCCUUUGGGGGAAAGAUUUAUCGGGGCAGGAUUAGCCCGCGUUGGAUUAGGUAGUUGGUGGGGUUAUGGCCUACCAAGCCGACGAUUCACAGCUGGUUUGAGAGAAUGAUCAGCGACACUGGGACUGAGACACGGCCGAGACUCCUACGGGAGGCGGGAAAGGGGGAUCGUGGAAAAUGGGGGCAACCCUGAUGUAGCCAUGACGGGUGAGCGAUGAAGUCCGUAGGGUAGUAAAGCGCUUGCAACUGGGAAGAUAAUGACGGUACCAACAGAAGAAGCCCCGGCUAACUCCGUG
rnacentral:rRNA from 1 species